rnacentral:rRNA from 2 species
ACAUGCAAGUCGAACGAACUCUUCGUAUUGAUUGGUGCUUGCAUCAUGAUUUACAUUUGAGUGAGUGGCGAACUGGUGAGUAACACGUGGGAAACCUGCCCAGAAGCGGGGGAUAACACCUGGAAACAGAUGCUAAUACCGCAUAACAACUUGGACCGCAUGGUCCGAGUUUGAAAGAUGGCUUCGGCUAUCACUUUUGGAUGGUCCCGCGGCGUAUUAGCUAGAUGGUGGGGUAACGGCUCACCAUGGCAAUGAUACGUAGCCGACCUGAGAGGGUAAUCGGCCACAUUGGGACUGAGACACGGCCCAAACUCCUACGGGAGGCAGCAGUAGGGAAUCUUCCACAAUGGACGAAAGUCUGAUGGAGCAACGCCGCGUGAGUGAAGAAGGGUUUCGGCUCGUAAAACUCUGUUGUUAAAGAAGAACAUAUCUGAGAGUAACUGUUCAGGUAUUGACGGUAUUUAACCAGAAAGCCACGGCUAACUACGUGCCAGCAGCCGCGGUAAUACGUAGGUGGCAAGCGUUGUCCGGAUUUAUUGGGCGUAAAGCGAGCGCAGGCGGUUUUUUAAGUCUGAUGUGAAAGCCUUCGGCUCAACCGAAGAAGUGCAUCGGAAACUGGGAAACUUGAGUGCAGAAGAGGACAGUGGAACUCCAUGUGUAGCGGUGAAAUGCGUAGAUAUAUGGAAGAACACCAGUGGCGAAGGCGGCUGUCUGGUCUGUAACUGACGCUGAGGCUCGAAAGUAUGGGUAGCAAACAGGAUUAGAUACCCUGGUAGUCCAUACCGUAAACGAUGAAUGCUAAGUGUUGGAGGGUUUCCGCCCUUCAGUGCUGCAGCUAACGCAUUAAGCAUUCCGCCUGGGGAGUACGGCCGCAAGGCUGAAACUCAAAGGAAUUGACGGGGGCCCGCACAAGCGGUGGAGCAUGUGGUUUAAUUCGAAGCUACGCGAAGAACCUUACCAGGUCUUGACAUACUAUGCAAAUCUAAGAGAUUAGACGUUCCCUUCGGGGACAUGGAUACAGGUGGUGCAUGGUUGUCGUCAGCUCGUGUCGUGAGAUGUUGGGUUAAGUCCCGCAACGAGCGCAACCCUUAUUAUCAGUUGCCAGCAUUAAGUUGGGCACUCUGGUGAGACUGCCGGUGACAAACCGGAGGAAGGUGGGGAUGACGUCAAAUCAUCAUGCCCCUUAUGACCUGGGCUACACACGUGCUACAAUGGAUGGUACAACGAGUUGCGAACUCGCGAGAGUAAGCUAAUCUCUUAAAGCCAUUCUCAGUUCGGAUUGUAGGCUGCAACUCGCCUACAUGAAGUCGGAAUCGCUAGUAAUCGCGGAUCAGCAUGCCGCGGUGAAUACGUUCCCGGGCCUUGUACACACCGCCCGUCACACCAUGAGAGUUUGUAACACCCAAAGUCGGUGGGGUAACCUUUUAGGAACCAGCCGC